rnacentral:rRNA from 1 species
ACGACUCUCAACAAAAGAUAUCUCGACUCUCGCAUCGAUGAAGAACAUAGUGAAAUGCGAUACCUGGUGUGAAUUGCAGAAUCCCAUGAACCAUCGAGUCUUUGAAAGCAAGUUGCACCCGAGGCCACCCAGUCGAGGGCAUGCCUGCCUGGGUGUCAUGC